rnacentral:lncRNA from 1 species
CCACCCACAACAAAAAUGUAAUUCACAAAACAGACAAACCCGAUCCACUUUCACAAUUCCAUCCUUAUCCAUAACUCUUCCCAGUUCCCACCACCCUUUUCCUAUAAAUAACUAAUAAAUCGCUUUUCUUUUUUCUAAACACAAUACAACACAACACACUCUCAUUUGACACUAUACAAACUUACAAACAUGUCUGAUAUUGCUAUGUUGGUUGCGGAGGAGUACGAGAGAAGGGUCAAGAGUUUAAAAAACACUGCUUCUGUAGAAACAUGGGAAAUUGACAUUUCUUCUUCUGCUUCGCUUUUGUUUUCAAAGUUGAAGCUGAAUAAACAGAUUCUUCAGAGUCUAUUGGAACCAAAAACCCAAUUUGCUGUUGCUGCUUCUAACAGCUUCUUUUCUGCUUGAACAACUUAUUUCAAUGUUAAUACUUAUUACUUAUUCCUUGCUUUCGUUGCUUAAUUUUCAUGACAUCUUUUGUACAAAGCUAUUAUUAUGCUUCGAAUUCGAUUUAAAGAAAAUCGAUUGUCUCUAGUUAGUUUUUCACUUUUUUUCUUUAUCUUUUUACCAAAAUGAAAUAAUAAAAUAAACUCAUUGCGAUGUUUAAGUUGUAAUAGAAUUUGAAUGCAACAAUAUUACGGCACUUUACUGAUUCUUUGUUUACAUUAUACCCAGUCAGAAAUAAGAAAUUUAAGUCGCACUGAAUACUGAUAUUAUCGAUUUUUUUAUAGAAGAAAUAUAAUUCAAUUCAAUAUCAGCCCAGCCCAAAUUUAAAUUUGAGUGGGCCCAAAUUAAACUUUGAAAUUAUCCUUCCUACCUCUCAAAUUGUUUCAUUGAAAAGAAAAACAAACUCUUGUUUUGACGAAAUAAAUAAAUAAAAUCUCUUAAAUUUAUCUACACAAAAUCUCCAUUUUACUCGAUUACAAUAUUUCAAUGGUAGUGGGUUAUUCAUUUUGUUGGGAUAAAAAAUAUUCAUAU